rnacentral:rRNA from 1 species
AUUGAACGCUGGCGGCAGGCCUAACACAUGCAAGUCGAGCGGAUGAAGGGAGCUUGCUCCUGGAUUCAGCGGCGGACGGGUGAGUAAUGCCUAGGAAUCUGCCUGGUAGUGGGGGAUAACGUCCGGAAACGGGCGCUAAUACCGCAUACGUCCUGAGGGAGAAAGUGGGUGAUCUUCGGACCUCACGCUACCAGAUGAGCCUAGGUCGGAUUAGCUAGUUGGUGGGGUAAAGGCCUACCAAGGCGACGAUCCGUAACUGGUCUGAGAGGAUGAUCAGUCACACUGGAAGUGAGACACGGUCCAGACUCCUACGGGAGGAAGCAGUGGGGAAUAUUGGACAAUGGGGGAGAGCCUGAUACAGCCAUGCCGCGUGUGUGAAGAAGGUCUUCGGAUUGUAAAGCACUUUAAGUUGGGAGGAAGGGCAGUAAGUUAAUACCUUGCUGUUUUGACGGUACCAACAGAAUAAGCACCGGCUAACUUCGUG